UGAUGGGAAGAUGCGAAGAAUGCGUGAUCAUCAAUUUUCGGGCAGUGGCAGUUGCUUGGGUUCUGCAAAUGCUUUUGCUUGAGAUCCUGACCGAGUUCUUGCGCAACUUGAGUUUUGAGGGACAACUGGGUGUCAUUUUGUAGUGGGUGCCAAGAAUCCUGGUACUAGAGAAGUGGUAGGACCUCACCUUCAUGUUUUAUGCACCGAUGUUUACUGAAGUGGUAGGACCUCACCUUCAUGUAUGAUGCAUUGAUGUUUACUAAAUAGGCUGGAUUUGUUAAACAUAGAAUUAAUAAGAUCAUAUUCUUACUCAAAAAGUUAACUUGUGUUAUGCCUUCUGAUUUACAAACUCACAAAACCAAAUCCAUUCCAUUUGAACUCCCCAACGAAUUGUAACCAUUACAUUCCAUCUAAUUAACCCAAGCAAAAUGGGAGCAGAACCAAUCCAUAAUUAAAAGUGCAUCGGCUGCAUUUUAGCCCAAACCUAAGAAUGGUUUAAAUGUAUUUUCAGGAUAACCUAUACAUGCGAGCUAACAAUUGUAUCAUCAAUUUUCGGGCGGUCACAGAUGCUUGGGUUUUGCAAAUGCUUUUUGCUCGAGACCCUGACGAGUUUUUCUUGCGCAACUUGAGUUUUGAGGGACAUAAAGGUAUCAUUUUGUAGUCGGUGCCAAUUUUCCUGGUACUAGAGAAGUGGUAGGACCUCACCUUCACGUAUGAUGCAUUGAUGUUUACUAAAUGGGCUGGAUUUUUUAAACAUAGAAU
rnacentral:lncRNA from 1 species